UUGCCUACGGGAGGCAGCAGUGGGGGAUAUUGCACAAUGGGGGAAACCCUGAUGCAGCGACGCCGCGUGGGCGAAGAAGUAUUUCGGUAUGUAAAGCCCUAUCAGCAGGGAAGAAGAAAUGACGGUACCUGAGUAAGAAGCACCGGCUAAAUACGUGCCAGCAGCCGCGGUAAUACGUAUGGUGCAAGCGUUAUCCGGAUUUACUGGGUGUAAAGGGAGCGCAGGCGGUUUAGCAAGUCAGAAGUGAAAGCCCGGGGCUCAACUCCGGGACUGCUUUUGAAACUGUUGAACUAGAUUGCAGGAGA
rnacentral:rRNA from 1 species